rnacentral:rRNA from 1 species
AUUGUUGAAAAAAUUACCCCCUGCUUUUUUUACGCUUGGGGCUUCUUUUUCUCCCACAAAUUUUUGAAAAAUGACCAAACUCCGGAU